UAUUCCAUCUGCUUUUCAUUACAAUGCUGCUAAAUAUUUCAUGCUUUUGGUUUCACAAACAAAUAAGAGCAGAACUAAUCUUUUUGUUUAAUGUUCGUUGAUUGACGUUUCAGGGAGGAAAAAAAGUUUGGGGUUUGUUUUGAUUUUUUUUCCUUACUUCAGAUCUCUGCAAAAGCUUUUAGUGGAAGAUAGAGCAGAUUUCCGUCGACUUUUCUGGUGGGCUUUUUAUGGCACCAUUGAUACAGGAAAAGAUAUGGGGGAAAAUCCAGAUGAUGAAUGUGCUGUUCAAUCAGCUGGGAUUUCUUUGCUUGCAAGGAGAUAACUCGAUGAAGUGCAAACAGAGACAGGGAGCAGACGUUGACUGCUUGUCAGCUGCAUACAGAGCUAUCUCUGGCUGGAGAACACAGCAGCUAUUAGUCCCCCUUUGCCCUUUCACAGUGCCCUGUCAGAGGGUCCCCCUGCAGUCAGAGCCAUCCAUUAAACCCCAGGGCAACAGUUCUGUUAAAUUGCUGCUUCUUUACAAGAGGGGGAUGGCAGCCCUGGGAGGAUUCAGCUGACAUUUUAACCCCCUGGUUCCCUAAACUCCCACUGAAGGGGAUGGGUGAAGGCAUUCCUGCAUCCCCAGCAGCAGGUGCUGCUCUGCCCUAGUGGGAUGGCUGUAGGUGACCCAGCUCCACACAGCACCUUCAUCCCCAGGGCAGAGGUGGGGUCAGGAGAUCCCCUGGGAUGUUCCUGAGGCCUGUGGCCAUGCUGGAAAAGGGUUUGAGCAGUUUCUUUCCAACCCAAAGCACUGAGUGAGGCCUCUUGGCCGAUGCUGUUCUCUCGAGUGCCAGUGUUGGCUGGUUUAUCUGGCAUUUGGACAAAUAUCUUCAUUAGAGCACCCAGUGGGCUGUGUCAGCUGUGAGGCCUAGUUUCAGGGUGAGAUGAAAGUGUGAACUGUCCCUCAGAAAGAGCUAGGUACUCAUAGGGUCAUAGGAUGGUUUGGGUUGGAAGGAACUUUUAAAGACCAUCUCAAUCCAGCCCCUGCUCCUGCCACAAGCAGGCACAGCUUCACUAGACCAGGUCUCUCAAAACCCCACCUGGCCUGGCCUUGAAUACUUCCAGGGAUGGGCAUCCACAACUUCUUUGGGAAACCUGUUCCAGACUAAAGAAUUUCUUCCUAAUAUCUAAUCUGCCCUCAUUCACUUAAAAACAUUACAUUUUAUUCUAUUGCUAUCUGUCCAUAUAAAAAGUCCCUUUUCCCUAAGCCCCCUUUAGGUACUGGAAAGUGCCAAAAGGCCUCCCUGGAGCUUCUCUUCCCCAGGCUGAACAGCCCCAUCUCUGUCAGCCUGUCUCCAUGGGAGAGGUGCUCCAGCCCUCAGAUCAUCUUGGUGUCCCUCCUCUGGACUCACCCCAGAAGUUCUGCAUGCUGGGGCCCCAGAGUGGGCACAGGACUGCAGGUGGGGUCUCAGGAGAGCAAAUUUCAAGAAGAGAUAAAUGGUCCCUUCUUUCAGCCUGACCCUGCAGUGGAGUGGCACUGGCAGUGCAGAUGGUUAAAUCACCAUGCUACAUUUGACCACAUAGUAGUACUUUUAUGUCAUUGCACAAACAGAAAUGAGUUUUCUGAUCCACUCUUGAGGCAAAUUCUUUGCAUUUAUUGCAGGAUUAAUUUUUCCCUGAUGGCUGAUGCUUCAACCACCCCAUCCCUUUCUCCCAUAAUCGCUGGCCUGAUUUCAGAGGCAGAAGUGAGUCUGGGGGCCUGACCCCAAUGCUUGCCUGCAAACAGGCUUUAUGACUUAUGCUGAGCAAGACACCCAAGCUGUAACAUUAUAUACUGGUUUCUAUAUUAUAUUUCUUAUUCUUCUAGCACUUUUCUUAUGAGGAUCUCAAGGCUCACUGCAAGGUUUGACUAAUUCUCAACAGUCAUCUGUGCAUUAAGUUCUUUUUGCUGAAAUACUAUUGCCAGAAGACUGCUGUCCUUGAGCAUCUCUCCACGACAGCAUACAAUAGCUUCACUCAGGACUUUACAAAUAAAUUGUAUCAGCCACAGCUCCUGGCAUUUUAUCAUUUUCAUUGAGGAUUUUGACGUUCAUCUUAAAAAAUUUCAAAUCCAGGAAUAGUAAAUGCCGAGUCAUAAAAGCUUAGGAAGUGGGUCAAAUGCAGAGUGCAAGGCAGUAUUACAGUGUCUGAUCUGCUGUCUCUGAUAAUACCCUCAUAAGACAAGGGUCUCUUUUUUUUUCUCCAUUCCUGAAUAAAUGAAUUGCAGCAUGUAUGAAAUCUCCAGAGGCCAUCUGUAACUGUAAUUCAUUUACCCUCUGUAUUAUGGAACAGAUUUUCCAGUGAGUUCAAAACUCGGGAAAGGGGGGAAGGGAAUAGUAUGAUGAGAAGGAUCUGUGAUCCAUAUCUAAAAGUAAAAAUAUUAUUCAGUUGUCAUAUUUGAUGGAUAAAGUGUCUGACACACCAGGAAAAGCCAUAGCAACUAGAUAAAUAUGUUCAAAACAUUUAAUUUUGAUACAUUAAGAAUGAGUUGGAGCAGGGGCUUAUCGACACUGAAAUUAAGCAGACAUUUUCUAAGUUCCUAAAAGCCUCUGAUUUUGUUUAGUUUGGAAGAAAAUUUGCUGUAGAUAACUUGGAAGUGUAAGGGGAAGCUGGACUUGGUGCACAAAGGAGCAGCUCUGACAGGUCAGGACUAGCAAUUACCUUUCUUCUUCAUCUGUUAUUUUCCAGGUGCCAGCAGCCCCUACUUCAUCUGUGUUAGACCACAAGAGGCCUCUGGGCAAACUUACAGACCCUUGGCUUCUGCUUUUAAAUUGAAAUUAGUACAUUCAUUUACGACUUUAGCUGCUACAAAAAUAUUUUUUUAUAUAGGGCACUCUCAAUAUUUCUGUAGUGCUGUUAACAUUCAGUAAUUGUAAUUAGCAACACAUCCUCAUGAACAGCCAUUUGCUUAUGUGGCUGUAAGCAAGAUUUCCUCCCUGAGUAAUUCCAAGGAUGUCACUGAAGCUGCAGCAGGGAUGGAUUUGGUCCAUGGCAGCUGGCAGGGCUCAUGUUUACUCUGAAGUUCAUGCUGGGACCCUCUGAAGGGUUUUCAUUCUGCACCAGGUUGUGUGUUCAUAAAGUGAAGAAGAGGGAAAUGCUGCAAACUUCUAAAAAUUAUAUUCUGUAGCCAUCAGAUCAAGAGUUCUGGCAGUGGGAGGAAAAUGUUCUCUGUGCAGUAAUUAGGGGGCUCUGCUGGAGCAGAGAGAAGUGAAAAGAAGGCAAGAGAAGGAGCAAGGCUCUGGAGGAGAAGCUUACCUUGCCAAAGUCUGAAAUCAAUGGAAAGUGCUGCACUAAGCCCUUUACCUGCAGCACCUGUAGGAACCAGCAGCAACUUUUUCCUCCUAAUGCUUCAGGCCCUCCAAUAUCUCUCUUUUGAGCCAGGGCAGAAGUGAAGAAGACACACACAACCACUUUCUUUUCCCUCUCCUUCAAAGGAUGGCAAAUGCUCUCACCUUGCCUGACACAUAUGGUCACUGUGGGGCCUGAACAGAGCAGGGGCUGGGGAGGGCUGAGCAUCAACAGUGCAGCUUCCACCUCUGCAGAAGGAGCCACAGCUCCUCAGCUGUGCAAGGCAUGAAAGUGUGCCUGCCUAGGAACUGAGUCAAGUACUGCUAACAGAGCCCCAUUGCUGCUUUCAACUUGCCCAUCACAGCUCACUAGAGAUGAAGUAAAUGACAAUUCUAGCUCUUUUUUGCUCACACCUUCUCAUCUAUGGCAGAUAAAAUACCUUGCAGAGUGCCCACAAUGCUGAGUGUAAUUUUUUUUAUACAAUACUGGCAAAACAUUCAGUGACAGGACUUGGUACACACCAGCAGAGCUGUAUCUUUUCAACAAUUCCUUUUUCAAGGGGAGAACUAAGAUUUUGGCAUAAAUGUGGUUUUAUUACUGCUGCUAUGUCUAUGCAACAAGCUUUUUUUGCAUACAUUUUUGUAUAUACAUAAUGAUACUCAUGAUCACCAAAAUUUGUAGUGCCAGGCUUCUCAUGGUGAAUGCAGACCCUAUGCAAGAGGUUAGUAAGUAAAACCAAUGUAGGCUCCUCUCAGCCCUUCUUUCUGCUCUUCAAAAAAUGAGAUGAUGGUGAGGAAUGUGACUGAUUGCUUUGGCAUUAUUGGUUAAUUUACACAGGGUGGUAAUUUGCUGACAGAAAACUAAAAUCAAAUUCAAGAAAAACUAAAAAUCAUUUAGAACCCAAAUUUCCAAGGCUAAACAAGAAAAUAGAAAUAAAGGAAAGAUGCAGCAGUAAGGUUAAAAGCAAAGAAUUAUAUCAUUUAUAUACAAAAAACCAUAUAUGACAAAUGAAGUGGCAGUUUUCUAAAAAAGAGUAAAGUGGGGGGAGCUGCAGAUGAAAAUGCUGCUCCAGGGGGAAGAGGAAGGACCUGGUAGGGAGUGGGAAUGGGCAGGAAGGGUAGGGCUGCACAUGGCUCUGAGCACAGGGCUGGUCCAGUGGGAGGGGACACAGAGGUGGCAGCCUGGAGACACAGCACACCCCUUGUGUUGGCACUGGACAGACCUGGGGUUCCUGUUGUGCUCCAGCUGGGCCAUGGGUGUCUUCUGGUCCUGGGGGGAACCAGGGGCACAUCCUCCUGUCCCCAGGAAGUCACUGCCACAACUCCCCUUGGUUUUCCUUCAUUUCACAGUGCAAUGGCAAUUCUGCACUUUGAGAAUCUGGCUUUAAAUAAGUGGAGAGGAACUGGGGGAAACCUGAUGUUUUCCAUGACCAGCUGUGGGUGCCUGACCUGCAGGAGACCAUGAGAGGCAGGGCUGGAGUAAAGGCUCAGACUCAGGCACAACCUUGUGACACACUGGACUGCUACAGCACAGCUGCCUGCCAGCAGCACAGCCCUUCCACAGGGCACCUGGCAAAGCCUCAGGAAAGCUAGAGGGAAAGGUUUGAUGGAGAUAAGGGUAAAUUUCUGUAUGAAUGGAGUUAACCACUGCUAGUGCCUGCCUGCUGUGCUGGAAGGGCAGCUGGGGGAUCUGGGUAUCUCCUUUGGCUUCAGGGCAGUCCCAAAACACAAGGUUUCAUCCCAGAAUGAGUGAUCUUGGCCACAGCUGGGGUCAGAAUUUGAGAAGAGCUAUUCUUGCUCUUGAGUGCAAUGCCCUUUCAGACAGUGACAAAUGGUUUGUAUUUGUCCUUGAUAAAAGCAAUGCCUUGUCUGAGUUAUUUUUACAGCAUUUUAACCACUAGUCAAUCACCUUGGUUUUGCUGUGGGAAGAACUAAAUGCAGCAAUUAGAAAGAACCAGACACAGUGCAACAAUAUUUAGUGGUGUGUUUGGCACUGCUGUCCCAUACUCACCUCACAUGGCAGAGUGCAUGACCUGUGAGCUGGCAGAUGGGUCAUGCAGGAGGGGAAUGGCUAAUGUGUGCAUUGCUGGUGAUUCCUCCAGGACAGCAAUAAGGGCUUCAUUUGUUGUGACAGAAACAGGGUCAGGAGGAAAGGAUUUGUGAUGAGCAGGAGGAUGAAUGUGAGCAUUUUCUUUGGUACCACUUUCUUCCUAGCCUUGGAAAAUGGAAGUCAGCAUCCUGGAGAGCUGUGUUGGAUCAAGCUGGUAACUCAAGGUAGCUGCCAUGAAUACAGGUGUCAUGUUAUUGCUGUCUGGAUUUCUUUGCCUAUUUGAAAAAAAACUUGGGUUCCAUAAAAAUGGACAGUCAUUGUGUUAGAGAAAAGACAGCUCUUGCAUUUGUGCAAAUUUAUUGAUCCUGGAGAGAGAAGAAAGCCAGAAGUUACCUCCUGGCACCUAAACCAACUCUAAAAUCUAACAAAAAUCACAGCCAGACAUGCAUGCCAUGCUGCUCACUCCCUGCUCAGAUGGGUGCAGUAGGAGUGCCAGCAGCUGGCAGAAAAGGGAUCCCUUCUGGUUUUAAACCAUUUGUGUCACACCUCAGUGAGGAGCCUGGUGGGCAGGCAGCAGGGAGGAAAGCCAGGCAGCUUCACAAGCAGAGAAUCCCUGGGGUCAGUGUGCUGAGCCCAGAUCCCUUCCAGAGAGGUGUAACCCCAGAGUAAAGGCUGCCAAAUGAGAGCAGCUGGGAAUGGACUGUGAUCUGCAGAAUAAGGGAUGAUCUGAUUUUUUAAGGGUUUUUGUUUGGAGGACUGUAGGAGCCUCCUUGAAGGCCCCAUGUGCUGACCUUGGAUUCCACUGAGCUCCUUAGUUUAUAUCUCUAAUUUGCACUGUUGCUAUGGGAAACUCUUUUGGGGCACAUGUGUGUGCAUGCUUCCCAAGGGAAGGUGGCAGACUCCAUUUCCUUGCCCCUUUUGUACCACAGCCUGAAACAUUUGUGUUUAAAUUCCAUUACAUCGUGAAAAAACCUCUUCUGUUUCAACCAGCCAAAGCCAGCUGCUAUUUCUUCCUUUGUUUGAAAUAGCAAAGCAAAACAGUGUUUACUUUAAUUCUUGAGAGUGUCACAGAUAAUCUGUGGGAUGGAGUCCUCAUUUUCCAUGCACUCCAAAACCAUGGAGUGUCACGCACAGCUGUCAGUAGUACAGAAAAAUGAAAUCAAGUUGCUUAGCUCAGACAAAAGCAGAUAAAAGUUCUGUGUGCAUUGCCCAGUAAAAAAAAGGUGGAAGGGAUGAGGAGAAGAAUCUUAAUAUAAAAGAAAUGUGAGGAUAUUAGGCACUCACAGGAGGAUAAAAGAAUCUGAAAUCUGCCAGUAAAGAGGGAUCUGUUGCCUUCCUGAAGCAUGGGGAUCUAAUUACUCUUUUCUUCCCUCUCUUCGUUAUAAAGCAACUAUUGCAGAACAUAAAUGACCUUGUAGACUCAUGAGAUAUUCCUGCCAAAAAGCAUGUCCAUUAUCAAGUAAUACAUUUUCUGCUUGUGUAGUUCCAGUGUGCUCUUUUGAAAAGCAGUAAGUUCUCUUCUGUCUCCCUUAUCACAUUUCAGGAUGCCUUUAGUCAUAGGACUCUGCUUAUUCAGUAGUUCAUGUCAAAUUUACUUCAGUAAGCAAAACUUAGAGUUCUUUCAGAAUUGCUUUUCUGUUCCCCAGUGAGGGAAGCUUUAGGCUUGCUCCUUCUCUCACUAAAAUACAUUUGAGCUUUGCUGUUGAUUUCAUGGAGGCCAUGAAGGCAUGAGACAGUAGUUUUUGAGCCUAAGUCUCCCCAGAGCAUUUUAAUUCACACCAUCUGAAGUGUCUUUUUAAAGGAAUCAACAGUGAAAAGAAAAUAAACUUUUGGGACAAGCACUUCAAAAAGGUAGAAACUAAUUUAAAAGUUCAUCAUAGCUCAGGUCCUCCUGGCCAUCUGUACUGUAGAGCAUGAAAUCUGGGUCUUUGAUAGGGAAUGACUUUAGGCUGGAAUCAGACAAGAAUGCUGGUUGGCAUCACCUACAGUCAGGCCAUGGACCAUCCCAACAGGUUAUCCAUGCACAUGAGCAUGCAGUGGGAAUGGUCACUGCAAAAAGGACACUAUAAAUGCAUCUCAGAACCCCAAAUUCAGCUAAGUGUGUUGGCCUCUGAUGUCAGAACCUGGAUUUGAGGGCUUUUCUUUGUGAUACAUUUAGUGAUAUAAUAAUAGAAGAUUAUGGUUUUGUUAAGAGUGAGCAAGUAUCCACUAUUUUAGCUAAGAGAGUGAGCCUUUUGUUUGCUCAAAAUAACUCAUAAAUUGGAGUUGUGCCCUUAAUAAUACAGCUACUUGCUUUCAUUUAAGAAAAACUUAAAAUUGCUACUGUUAUUGUGUCCCAAAUUUUAUUCAGUCAUAAUGGUACUCAAGUUUUUAUUGUUGCUGUAAAACAUUCAGGCAUUUCAGUCCCAUGAAUGGAACACCAACCAUCCAUGUAUGGUGCAUUUUCCAUCAGACAAUUGCAGGUUUGCAACAAAAGAAAAUUAAAAAAAAAAAAAAAAAAAGAAACAGAGUUUGCAAUAAAAGAGUCCAAGAAAUGCAAGAAAUGCAAGAAAAUAUUCUGAUUUUUUAAAGAGAUGUUUCUUGCUGGGAAUUGUGAGUUAAAAUCACCUCUUCAGCUUGCUGAAAUACUGUCCCACAUUCACACCAGGAUCAUUAAUGCACCAUGCUCCCAGAGAGAGUUGUGUUACUGCUGGCAUUUUGUGGUUUCUCCAUAUUCUGACACAAAGGAAGCUGAGCUUUGCAUGUCCUCACUUUAGAUGUUUCAGACUUUUGUUGGCCUAAGUGUCAUCACCAGGAUGAAGUUCGUGGCUCUUCCCAGCUCCAACCUCUGCUAAAUAAAUA